UGAAACUCAAAGGAAUUGACGGGGGCCCGCACAAGCGGUGGAGUAUGUGGUUUAAUUCGACGCAACGCGAAGAACCUUACCAGGUCUUGACAUUGAUGGACAGAACUAGAGAUAGUUCCUCUUCUUCGGAAGCCAGAAAACAGGUGGUGCACGGUUGUCGUCAGCUCGUGUCGUGAGAUGUUGGGUUAAGUCCCGCAACGAGCGCAACCCUUGUUUUUAGUUGCCUUUUAUGGAACUCUAAAAAGACUGCUGGUUAUAAACCGGAGGAAGGUGGGGAUGACGUCAAGUCAGCAUGCCCCUUACACCCUGGGCUACACACGUGCUACA
rnacentral:rRNA from 1 species